AGCCUGUUGGCUUAGUGGUUAAGUGCUAUGGCUGCUAACCAAAGGGUCGGCAGUUCGCAUCUGCCAUGCACUC
rnacentral:tRNA from 1 species